UCGACGGAUCCGGGAGCAUCCCGGGUUAGUGGCGGACGGGUGAGGAAUGCGUCGGAAUCUACCCUAUGGUGGGGGAUAACACAGGGAAACUUGUGCUAAUACCGCAUAAUGUCGAGAGACCAAAGCAGGGGACCGCAAGGCCUUGCGCGAUAGGAUGAGCCGACGCCCGAUUAGCUAGUUGGUAGGGUAAAGGCCUACCAAGGCGACGAUCGGUAGCUGGUCUGAGAGGAUGAUCAGCCACACUGGGACUGAGACACGGCCCAGACUCCUACGGGAGGCAGCAGUGGGGAAUAUUGGACAAUGGGCGCAAGCCUGAUCCAGCAAUGCCGCGUGUGUGAAGAAGGCCUGCGGGUUGUAAAGCACUUUUGUUCGGGAAGAAAUCAUGCCGACUAAUACUUGGUAUGGAUGACGGUACCGGAAGAAUAAGCACCGGCUAACUUCGUGCCAGCAGCCGCGGUAAUACGAAGGGUGCAAGCGUUAAUCGGAAUUACUGGGCGUAAAGGGUGCGUAGGCGGCUUUUUAAGUCGGAUGUGAAAUCCCCGGGCUUAACCUGGGAAUGGCAUACGAUACUGGGGAGCUAGAGUUUGGGAGAGGGUGGUGGAAUUCCCGGUGUAGCGGUGAAAUGCGUAGAGAUCGGGAGGAACAUCAGUGGCGAAGGCGGCCACCUGGCCUAAAACUGACGCUGAGGCACGAAAGCGUGGGGAGCAAACAGGAUUAGAUACCCUGGUAGUCCACGCCCUAAACGAUGAGAACUGGACGUUGGGAGGAAUUUGCCUCUUAGUGUCGAAGCUAACGCGUGAAG
rnacentral:rRNA from 1 species